CAACAGGGAUUGCCCUAGUAACGGCGAGUGAAGCGGCAACAGCUCAAAUUUGAAAUCUGGCUCUUUCAGAGUCCGAGUUGUAAUUUGCAGAGGGCGCUUUGGCUUUGGCAGCGGUCCAAGUUCCUUGGAACAGGACGUCACAGAGGGUGAGAAUCCCGUACGUGGUCGCUAGCUAUUGCCGUGUAAAGCCCCUUCGACGAGUCGAGUUGUUUGGGAAUGCAGCUCUAAAUGGGAGGUAAAUUUCUUCUAAAGCUAAAUAUUGGCCAGAGACCGAUAGCGCACAAGUAGAGUGAUCGAAAGAUGAAAAGCACUUUGGAAAGAGAGUCAAACAGCACGUGAAAUUGUUGAAAGGGAAGCGCUUGCAGCCAGACUUGCUUGCAGUUGCUCAUCCGGGCUUUUGCCCGGUGCACUCUUCUGCAGGCAGGCCAGCAUCAGUUUGGGCGGUGGGAUAAAGGUCUCUGUCAUGUACCUCUCUUCGGGGAGGCCUUAUAGGGGAGGCGACAUACCACCAGCCUAGACUGAGGUCCGCGCAUCUGCUAGGAUGCUGGCGUAAUGGCUGUAAGCGGCCCGUCUUGAAACACGGACCAAGGAGUCUAACAUCUAUGCGAGUGUUUGGGUGUCAAGCCCGAGCGCGUAAUGAAAGUGAACGGAGGUGGGAACCCGCAAGGGUGCACCAUCGACCGAUCCUGAAGUUUACGGAAGGAUUUGAGUAAGAGCAUGGCUGUUGGGACCCGAAAGAUGGUGAACUAUGCUUGAAUAGGGUGAAGCCAGAGGAAACUCUGGUGGAGGCUCGCAGCGGUUCUGACGUGCAAAUCGAUCGUCAAAUUUGGGCAUAGGGGCGAAAGACUA
rnacentral:rRNA from 1 species